rnacentral:rRNA from 1 species
AUUGAACGCUGGCGGCAGGCCUAACACAUGCAAGUCGAGCGAGGGGCGGGCGGGUGAGGAAUGUCUAUGAAACUGCCUGAUGGGGGGGAAUAACGACUGGAAACGGUAGCUAAUACCACAUACCAACAAAUGUGCCCAGAUGGGAUUAGCUAGUAGGUGGGUGACCGGCUCACCUGGGCGACGAUCCCUAGCUGGUCUGAGAGGAUGACCAGCCACACUGGAACUGAGACACGGUCCAGACUCCUACGGGAGGCAGCAGUGGGGAAUAUUGCACAAUGGGCUAAAGCCUGAUCCAGCCAUGCCGCGUGUGUGAAGAAGGCCUUCGGGUUGUAAAGCACUUUAAGUUGGGAGGCGUUACCAACAGAAUAAGCACCGGCUAACUUCGUGCCAGCAGCCGCGGUAAUUC